AGAGUUUGAUUAUGCUCAGGGAUGAACGCUAGCGACAGGCCUAACACAUGCAAGUCGAGGGGCAUCGGGGCGAGGAGCAAUCCUUGCCGCCGGCGACCGGCGCACGGGUGAGUAACGCGUAUGCGACCUGCCCGUUGCAGGGGGAUAAUCGGGAGAAAUCCCGUCUAAUACCGCGUAACGCCGCGGGGCUGCAUGGCCCUGCGGCCAAAGGGAGCGAUUCCGGCAACGGAUGGGCAUGCGUGACAUUAGCUAGUUGGCGGGGCAACGGCCCACCAAGGCGACGAUGUCUAGGGGUUCUGAGAGGAAGGUCCCCCACACUGGUACUGAGACACGGACCAGACUCCUACGGGAGGCAGCAGUGAGGAAUAUUGGUCAAUGGGCGCGAGCCUGAACCAGCCAAGUCGCGUGAGGGAUGACGGCCCUACGGGUUGUAAACCUCUUUUGUCGGGGAGCAAAUUCCGCCACGUGUGGCGGAGUCGAGAGUACCCGAAGAAAAAGCAUCGGCUAACUCCGUGCCAGCAGCCGCGGUAAUACGGAGGAUGCGAGCGUUAUCCGGAUUUAUUGGGUUUAAAGGGUGCGUAGGCGGACUGUCAAGUCAGCGGUAAAAUACGGGGGCUCAACCUCCGCCCGCCGUUGAAACUGACGGUCUUGAGUGGGCGAGAAGUAUGCGGAAUGCGUGGUGUAGCGGUGAAAUGCAUAGAUAUCACGCAGAACUCCGAUUGCGAAGGCAGCAUACCGGCGCCCAACUGACGCUGAAGCACGAAAGCGUGGGUAUCGAACAGGAUUAGAUACCCUGGUAGUCCACGCAGUAAACGAUGAAUACUAGCUGUCCGGGGCGAAUGAGCCCUGGGUGGCACAGCGAAAGCGUUAAGUAUUCCACCUGGGGAGUACGCCGGCAACGGUGAAACUCAAAGGAAUUGACGGGGGCCCGCACAAGCGGAGGAACAUGUGGUUUAAUUCGAUGAUACGCGAGGAACCUUACCCGGGCUCAAACGACACAGGAACGUACCUGAAAGGGUUCGGCUCUACGGAGCCUGUGUCGAGGUGCUGCAUGGUUGUCGUCAGCUCGUGCCGUGAGGUGUCGGCUUAAGUGCCAUAACGAGCGCAACCCCCAUCGACAGUUGCUAACAGGUUAGGCUGAGGACUCUGUCGAGACUGCCGGCGCAAGCUGCGAGGAAGGCGGGGAUGACGUCAAAUCAGCACGGCCCUUACGUCCGGGGCGACACACGUGUUACAAUGGCAGGUACAGCGGGAAGCCACCUGGCGACAGGGAGCGGAACCCGAAAGCCUGUCUCAGUUCGGAUUGGAGUCUGCAACCCGACUCCAUGAAGCUGGAUUCGCUAGUAAUCGCGCAUCAGCCACGGCGCGGUGAAUACGUUCCCGGGCCCUGUACACACCGCCCGUCAAGCCAUGGAAGCCGGGGGUGCCUGAAGUGCGCUGCCGCGAGGAGCGCCCUAGGGUAAAACCGGUGACUGGGGCUAAGUCGUAACAAGGUAGC
rnacentral:rRNA from 1 species